rnacentral:lncRNA from 1 species
AAUCAUUGAUGCCUCUCUUAGAAUUGUGGUAAACUGAGAUACAGCUUUGUCUUUUUUAAAUGCUAACUGUAUUUGCUUGCAGACAGUUUAAUUAAACUUCGAUUAGGUCUUUAUUGAUGCACUUCGUAUGUCUAUUUCAUCAAUAAUAGUAUCUUCCUCUUCUUGAAUUGCCACUUUGAAAGCAUUAAACAUUUAGUUGUCCAAGAGUCAACCUAUUCUUGUUUAACUGAACUAAUCAACUAUGUUAUCUGCCAAUCCUUAGUGAUUCACUUUGGUUCUAUUGGACCUAGCUAGUCAAUCUUUCAUUGCUUUUGAUACCAUCUGUUUAAUAUAUGCUUGAUAAAUUUCAAAGGCUUUGAAAUGUGCCGUAUGAUGAGAAGUUGUUAUGUGGGGUAGUUCUUUUGUUUGUUAUUGUUGUUUCCUUCUAUCUCUGGAGACAUAGAUUGGUUUUUAUGAAAAUCAUGUCAUUAGCUUCACUAUCAUUGAAUUAUGAUGCUGAUGAAAUCUGAGGGUAGUUUGUUUUCUUUGAAUUACAUCUUUUAGUUUGUUGUUAUAUCCUUUUUGGUGUUGGUAUUGGAAGCUUGAUUAGAGCCUUUGUGACCAAUGUGCUUUUUGCUUUCUCUCUCUCUAUAUAUUAGUAGAUCAUAGUUCUUUCUUUCUAUGAUGUUAUGUAGGGGUGUUAGACAUUUGUGUCUUGGUUUUCAUCGAGAUCCUACUGUCUGUUGCCCAAUGAUGGAAAACUCAUUUUUGAUUGAAUGGUUCUGGUUUUCAAUUCAUCUCUAGCUUUUGCACACCACCUGCUUCAUUCUUUCUCUCUCUCUCUCCAUUUGCACGUGUGUUUGUGUGUACAUAUGUAUAUUUAUUUAUUUAUUUAUUUAUUUUUGGUGGUGUGUGAAAAGCUAUUGAUGAGUGCAUUUACGGAACUGUUCAUAAUCUUGGCAAAGAUAUGAGAUCUGAGGGCUCUUUCUAAUUGCACUUUUAGAGCUUUCAAAAUAAGAUGUUGUCUUCAGCCAAAAGAGGCAGAGAAAUUCAGUUACAUAUACAGUGCCAAUCUAUAACUGUAUGUAAGUUAAUUGAAAUUUUAAUUAAUGCAUCAGAGAAAUUUAGACUUAGCAUUUCUCUGGUUGAUUAAAUAUGUAUUUGUAUGUACAUUUAAUCUUUGCAGUUGGGUGAGGCUGAUUUCUACAGUUUUAUAUGAUAAUCCAUGAAUUUUUCACUUUUUUUCUCUUCUAUGAGCCUACUUUUCUAGGCAGUCUUACUUAGAUACCUUUUACUUGUUAAAGUUUGGUCUUGAGAUCACUUGCCCUCAACGGUCUUUGGUAUUAGAUUGCUCAUUAAUCCGCCCUGCCUGAUGAUGGAUACUUUAUGUGGGGAGAAGUUUCUACGGCAUCGUUGUUGGCCUCCAUCCUUUCUGCAACUUGUCAUCAUUGUUGUUGGCACUGGUAGUAGUGGAUGUGGAGUGGUUUUCAAUGAAAUCCUAUAGCAUCACCAUUGAUGAGUUGUUAGAACUAUUGAGUUUUGACCUCUGAGGGCUUGGCUCGUUCUUUUACCAUAUGGUGCAUUAGAAGAUCCUCUGUUUUGAUGUUUCUUAGCGUAUAACAAUAUACAUGUCAAGGCCCAUGCCUUGUUUUAAUGUAACUUCUGAAGCUAGCAGUUCAGUGGGAUUAUUGGUAAUGGGAAUGGUGUUUGAUUCUUAGUAGUGAUUGUUGCAGGGUGUUGUGACUGACAGGAAAAAGUUGGAAUGCCAUGAGAAGGGUGAAGCUGAUGCAUCCGCUGAGGUUUUUGACCAGAGAUGGGAGACCCAAUCAAGAAUUGAAAUUUGUUUUUUGUGUGCUCAGUUCUCACUUGUUAUCUGCUUAGAUUAGACUAGAACUAG